CGCCCAACACAUACCCAACCUCCCUUCUCCCACGACCCAACCCACCUCCACCAUCUUCCUCCUGCCUCGUCCCCAACAUCCUCCCCAACCCGCCCCGCACCUGUGCUCCACCCCGAGCCGCCGCCCUUACCAUCCCACCUUCUCCGACGCACGCACCCACCCCCACCCUCCCCACCGUCUCCGGCGCGGCGCGGCCCACCCCGAGCCGCCAUCCCACCCUCCCCACCGUCUCCGGCGCGGCGCGGCCCACCCCGAGCCGCCGUCCCACCCUCCACACCAUCUCCGGCGUGGCGCGGCCCAUCCCGAGCCACCGUCCCACAAGCCACCAACCACCCUCCCCACCUUCUCCGGUGAGGCCCGCCCCACCUGAGCCGUCGUCCCACCGUCCCACCUUCUCCGGCGGGAUCCGCCUCCCACCCUGCCCAGACACCUAACCCGGCCGUGCGACCGCCGGAUCCGGCGGGAUCCUUCCUCCCGUGCUUGCCCGGCGACGCGUGCAUCGCAAACAGAGGCGAGGUGCCCCCUCACCCCCACCCCCCCACCCCGCGUCCCUGCCCACGAUGGCGCGCCCCGGUGGUCGCCAAAUCUGGGCCAGGAGCGCCUACCCCCGUCCCGAGAUUCAGCUCCUCUGGCUGCAUGGCGCAGGUCCCCCAUUCCCCGGGCGAGCUCUCGUGCUCCCGUGCCCGACGGCGAUCUCUACUGCUUCCCACCCCCUCCGACGAGCUCUGCUGCCUCCCCUCCCCACUAGCGAGCUGGCCUGACGAUGGCCGAGGCUCCUGAUGCAGUUCGUUUCGUGGGUUGUGAUGUGCAGUGUGUGCGGCAUGCAGCUUGGAGCGAGUGGGCAUGCAGCCUCAGAGCCAGCGAUGAUAUUCCCAUGUGUUGGCCGUAGCAUGCGCCCCAUCCUAGCAUGCUGACGGUCAGGCCGCGUUUGCUUGAGGCAGUGGCUCCGGACCAUGGACACAGCCGGAUGCAAGACCCUGCAUCCCACAUCGCCGCCCUUCGACUUCUUCCUCGCAACAAGACGUGCUGUGAGCAAGCGUGUGAGAGUGCAGCUUGCCGUUGCGGAUGCAGUCCGUUGUCCCGGCCAGAUCCAUGGCGCUGGUCGUUCUUUCUCCUACUGCUCUAUGUGAGGUGAGGACGGGUUCUCUGUUGGCAAGGUAAUGCAUUUUUCAGUAUGGUGUGCAGUUCCAUCAGUGUGGUCGUGCGGCACGCAGGCGUGGGUUUGCAAUGUGGUGCCCAUAUACGUGCAGGCCAAGAUGAUGGCCAUAUCCGCUGGGGCUUUUGUAUUCGUGUGUUUAUAUUGUACUCCCAUGGAUGUCAUCCCGUAUUUGUGCGAGUAUUUGUUUGCCUAAUGGCCCAUAGCCAGCUCCACCACAGGGUGUCUAACUCUGUAUGUUCCCAAUGCUGUUCGGUGGGAGAGCAUGUUCCGUGCAGUGCAUUUGGCAUGUUCUUGCAUUUUGUAGUGUUUUCACUUGGUAGCUCCUUUGCUUUUUGUUGCAGCUCACUCAAUAUUUGUUUGCAGUUCAUUGCGAGACUCCAUGGCGCUGGUUGCGCUGCUCCUUUUCUUGUUGCUACGUCUGAGGCGAGGACGGGCUCUGCCACACGGGGAGUGUUUGCGACACCGGCGAAGACGGCGUGGUGGUUCCCUUCUUCCCCAACAACAGAAGUUGCGGUGCGGCUAUGUAAUUGUUGAAGUUCAGGAAUAUGUUUGGUGUCUUUUCAGAUUUCGUUUGGGCGCAACACUGCAGUUCGCGUGGGUCUUCACAGCGGUUCGGACGGGUGUGCAGUAGGGUGCUUGCAGUGUGAUGGCGCGAUGCUCACGGUCUUGAAUAAAUUUGUUUGAUGCGAUGGUGCGAUGGCGCAAAUUGUUUCAUGUGAUCUAAAAUUUAGUCGACUACGUCAACA